rnacentral:tRNA from 1 species
GCCCGGGUGACGGAAUGGUAGACGUUGGGGACUUAAAAUCCCCUGCCUUUGGGCGUGCGGGUUCGAUUCCCGCCCCGGGCA